AUUGAACGCUGGCGGCAGGCCUAACACAUGCAAGUCGAGCGAGCGGCGGACGGGUGAGUAAUGUAUGGGGACUGCCCGAUAGAGGGGGAUAACUACUGGAAACGGUGGCUAAUACCGCAUACUAUCGGAUAACCCAGAUGGGAUUAGCUAGUAGGGGGGGUAAAGGCGCACCUAGGCGACGAUGCCUAGCUGGUCUGAGAGGAUGAUCCGCCACACUGGGACUGAGACACGGCCCAGACUCCGACGGAGGCAGCAGUAGGGAAUAUUGCACAAUGGGCGCAAGCCUGAUGCAGCAAUGCCGCGUGUAUGAAGAAGGUCUUAGGGUUGUAAAGCACUUUCAGCGGGGAAGCGUUACCCGCAGAAGAAGCACCGGCUAACUCCGUGCCAGCAGCCGCGGUAAUAC
rnacentral:rRNA from 1 species